rnacentral:rRNA from 1 species
AGUGAACGCUGGCGGUAGGCCUAACACAUGCAAGUCGAACGGCAGCACAGUAAGAGCUAGCUCUUACGGGUGGCGAGUGGCGGACGGGUGAGGAAUACAUCGGAAUCUACUUUUUCGUGGGGGAUAACGUAGGGAAACUUACGCUAAUACCGCAUACGACCUACGGGUGAAAGCAGGGGAUCUUCGGACCUUGCGCGAUUGAAUGAGCCGAUGUCGGAUUAGCUAGUUGGCGGGGUAAAGGCCCACCAAGGCGACGAUCCGUAGCUGGUCUGAGAGGAUGAUCAGCCACACUGGAACUGAGACACGGUCCAGACUCCUACGGGAGGCAGCAGUGGGGACUAUUGGGCAAUGGGCGCAAGCCUGAUCCAGCCAUACCGCGUGAGUGAAGAAGGCCUUCGGGUUGUAAAGCCCUUUUGUUGGGAAAGAAAAGCAGCAGGUUAAUACCCCGCUGUUCUGACGGUACCCAAAGAAUAAGCACCGGCUAACUUCGUG